rnacentral:rRNA from 1 species
CCUACGGGCGGCAGCAGUGAGGAAUAUUGGUCAAUGGACGAGAGUCUGAACCAGCCAAGUAGCGUGAAGGAUGACUGCCCUAUGGGUUGUAAACUUCUUUUAUAUGGGAAUAAAAUGUUCCACGUGUGGGAUUUUGUAUGUACCAUAUGAAUAAGGAUCGGCUAACUCCGUGCCAGCAGCCGCGGUAAUAAGGAGGAUCCGAGCGUUAUCAGGAAUUAUUGGGGUUAAAGGGAGCGUAGGUGGAUUGUUAAGUCAGUUGUGAAAGUUUGCGGCUCAACCGUAAAAUUGCAGUUGAAACUGGCAGUCUUGAGUACAGUAGAGGUGGGCGGAAUUCGUGGUGUAGCGGUGAAAUGCUUAGAUAUCACGAAGAACUCCGAUUGCGAAGGCAGUUCACUGGACUGCAACUGACACUGAGGCUCGAAAGUGUGGGUAUCAAACAGGAUUAGAUACCCUUGUAGUC